GCCAUUUUAUUUUGCGCGUGAAUAUCCUCCAAGUAAAUCUCAACCUAAAUCAUGGAUAACUGCGGUAUUCUACGGAUUUGUUGUUAAAAUGCAACUAGGCGUGCAUUAAUUAUAUGUCAUGGUAGACCAUAACAAGAAGAUGCCACUGAUUGCAUUUCUCAAGUAACUGACAUCAUGACAACCAGAAGUGGGAAGAGGAGGCCCACUGAAGUAUCUUGGGACAGUGAUGAUGACCUUCUCCAGGAAGAUAUUGGAGGAAUUAAUGCCUUUCCUAAGAGUAAGGUGAGCUUGGGUCACGAAUCCGAAGAGGAAUACGACGAGGAGGCACUUCUGGGGAGUGAUGAUGAAAAGGGAGAUAAGUCUGGGUAUGCCAACACGACAGAGGAGGGCAUUUCCCUCAUUGAGGAUUCUGAGAGCUUCAACCAGACGGGGGGCGACUCACUGGAGGGAGGGAUGAUUGAGCAAGAUGCAGGAGGCCUUGAUGGGGCCCAGGAUGCUGAGGCUUUGGAGAUUGCUGUAGAUGAUGAAGAGAUUCAGGACCUUGCCGAAGGUCUUGAUGACUUCAACCCGGACAGCUAUAAUGGCGACCAGUAUGACAGUGGCGCCCUCUACGAUGAGGGGGGCUUUGAGGGGGGUGAGCAGCCGUACACCCACCAUGGGGAGCACUACCAGGGGGAGGAUUAUGAAGCGCAGCAGUUCAACCAGGAGGGGGGAGAGGGGCAGUUCAACAGCACCCAGGAGGAUGUGGAAGAACCAGAGGGUGAUGAGACUCAGACCACUCAGGAGCUGCAGGAGGAGAGUGACAGUGAGAGUGACAGCGAUGGGGAGUCAGGCCGAGGCAGGUUCAAGUCCGAGAGGUCCAACAUCAUAACCAUUGCGACCACCAAGUCAAGACAGGACAUUCCAGAGACUCUCGAAAUAAGUGAAGAACAGCAGCAGGAGAUUGACCAGUUCUUGUCGAGCAACCAGAAAGGUCGUCGAGGUCGUGGGGGUCAGUGGCGACACCAGGGCCCAAGAGGUCGAGGUCAGUUCGGGCCAAGAGGGCCCUGGCAACAGUUCCGGCCUCAAGGAGGACAUGGACAACAGCAGCAGGCAUUCAAUCCACAACAGAGGUUUGGUCCUCCCAGACAGGCUUGGAAUCAGCCACCACACCAACAAGGACCCCCAGACCACAUGCAGCAUCAUCAACAACACCAGCACCAGCAGCAGCCUCAUCAGCAUCUUCAUCAACCUCAUGCACAACACUUAGCGCAACCUCAGCAUCAACAGCCGCCACUUCAAUCUCAUGUCCUGCCUCACUCUGCACAUGCAGCUCACCCCAGUAUUGACAGCAGUCAGCAGCCAGCACUGCCUUCCGCCACCCAGCCUCCGCAGUCCUCGCAGCCCUCGUCCAGGAAGAUUCUUAUUAACCCCCACUUCCGGGCACGGGCACCCGCACCCCAGCCAGCAUCAACCAACACAUCAUGGGCGACGCAGCGAGGCCCCGCUGAUGUGUAUCAGCCGCCUCAGAUGCCUCAUCCCCAGCCCGCUGCCGUAGCUCCACAGGUAUCCCCCUUCCAGCCUCCAGCAUCCGAAUCAUGGCAACCUCAGUCCCAGGCUCCGGUGCAGGGCCAGUACCAACCUCCUCAACAUCAAGUAUCACAGCCAUAUCCAGUCCACACGGCACAGAACCCCCAAUACCAACAGCAUCAGCAGCAGCAUCAGCAACAACAUCAGCCCCAACAGCAGCAGCAGCCACAGCACCACCCGCCCCAGCAAGGAUCCUAUCCCUCCCAGCAGACUGGCCCCCCACAUGCCCAGCCUAUGGUCACGCCUCUCAUGCAGACAGGCCCCAGUCAGCCACAGCCAUUGAUGACCCAACCCUCUCAUCCACAACACUCAGGGGCACCUGGCUUCCACCAGCCAUACCCCCAGACGCCCCAGCCACUGUUGUCAGUUUCCAGCCCUCACCCGGCACAGCCGAGGCCCCUACUCUCACCCCAGGGACCCCCAGGUCAGCCGAGGUAUCAUCAGCCCUUGGUUCAGCAACAGCAGCCAGGUUCCAUUAUUCCGACCACCAGCAACCAGCAGCAACGCUUCCAGCAACCAGGCCACAACCAGCAGUUCCAACAGCAACAGCUGAUGCCUCCUCCUCCCCAACAGCAUCUCCAACACCAGCAGAUACACAGCUUCAACCGUGCUCCAAACCAACAUCAGCCAAUCGUGAACCGAAAUCCAAACCAGAACUUCAACAGGUCCCCCGUUCAACAAAAUGUCAGACCUCAAAACUUUCAACAGCAAACAGGAUUCCAACCUCGAGGCCCUCGACACCAAAUGCAACCCCAUGGCCUUCAAGGUCAAGGUCAAGUUCAGGGUCAGCGCCAUCAGCAGUCUGGAGGUCACCUAGGGCAUAACAACCAGCAAAUUCAAACAAGUCAGACUGGAAAUCGCCUUCAGCAACAGGGAAGAAUAGGGCAGCAGGGAAGUGCAGGAAAUAGGCUUCAGAACAAGCCCAUGUUCACUCAGAACAAGAUCCAGACCACCAACUCUAACCUGAAGGUGAUCACCCCAUUGCCACAGAAGAGAAUAUCCACCUCAUCGGAGGAAGGCAUGACUGGCCCAAAGCAGGCUAAAAGCCUUGUUGAGGAAGAGCCAAUGGAUGAUGAAACUCGGGAGUUGAAGAAGAAGUUGGAGGUACAGAAGCGGAUGCGAGAAGAGAUUAUCAAGAAGAAGGAAAUGAAGCGUCGGCUAGAGGCAGUCCGACGGCGGAAGGAACUUGAGAAGAAGCUGGCCCAGAAAGGAAUGACAAUUGAUGACAUUGCUGACCCCUCCUCUGAUUCUGGGCAAGACACUGGCAUACAAGAAGGUCAGCCAAUACAGGCAAUAGGAUCUCCAGCAGUCCAGCCAAAAGCAGUACAAGGCCGACAGGCCAAUCAGACCAUCGGCAGAGGUCAGCCUAUCCGUCGACUAUCGGGGUCAGGGAACCAGCAAGGGCCGCUAAUGCGUCAGAUGUCAAGUGGGAUGGGUGACCAGCAGUCACAGCAGAUCGCGAGGCAGAUGGACAACCAGGGAAGGCAGAAUGUUGGUGUGAAACGUCAAAUGAGUGGAGACGGACCUAUUCAUGCUAAAAAUACCAGAAUGUCUCAGCAGGGAAACCAGCAGAUGAAUGCUGGUAGAGGUCAACAGAUGAGGGGUCAAGGUCAAUCUAGAGGUCAUGGUCAGAUGAGAGGAGGGCAGAUGAAUGCUCGAGGAAGAGGCCAUCAUCAGGGAGGUCCGAAUGGCCAAGUCAACAGUGAGGUGAUGAGAAACCAGAACCAAGGAUUUCAUGAACCUGGGUUUCAGGGUCAAGGUCCAGCAAAUAGAGGUCAAGGUCAGGCUAUGGGUCGAGGGGGACCUGGAGGCCGAGGGCAGGGAAUGAUGCAGGGACCUGAUCGUGGGGGCUAUGGACAUCCCAACAUGGGAGGAAGGGGAGGGAUGCCCAUGAGAGGGAAUAUGCAAGGGAAUAAUAAUAUGAUGGGACCUAAUGGGAUGCGGGGCAGAGGUCAGCCCAAUAUGAGAGGUCAGCCCAAUUUGAGAGGUCAACCCAAUAUGAGAGGUCAACCCAAUAUGAGAGGUCAGCCCAACAUGCGAGGUCAACCCAAUAUGAGAGGUCAGCCCAACAUGCGAGGUGAACCCAACAUGAGAGGUCAACCCAAUAUGAGAGGUCAGCCCAACAUGCGAGGUCAACCCAACAUGCGAGGUCAACCCAACAUGAGAGGUCAACCCAACAUGAGAGGUCAACCCAAUAUGAGAGGUCAGCCAAAUAUGAGAGGUCAGCCCAAUAUGAGAGGUCAGCCCAAUAUGAGAGGUCAGCCCAAUGUUCGUGGACCCAUGCGUGGCAGAGGCCAAAUGCAUGGAGGUGGACGGGGACAAAUUACCCCCCCUGGAAACAAAGGUCAAGGUGAACCUGCAGGCAACAACCAUACAGUGAUAACUUCACCACCUCAGACAAGGUCAGUCGUGCAGGGCCAAGGUGACGGUGAAGGUCAGACAAGAAAAGUUGUUGCCCGAGGACGAGGUGCUGCAAGUAUCGCAAGUCAAGGCAGAGGUCGUGGAGCAGUUGCUCAACCAGUAGGAAAUCAGAAUCGGAAAAUUGUGAUGAAUAGUGCGCAGACCGUACGGAUAACUAACUUGUCAGCAUCGACAUCCCAAAAGGUCCUAGAUCAGCUGUGCAAAACUGUUGGCCCAGUGGAGAGCAUUUCUCUGGUCAAAGCGGAUAAGCAGGCCACCAUCAAGUUCUGUAACUCCAAUCAUGCUACCACCUUCUCAAAGAGAUACAACAGACACAUGAUUGAUCUGUCUCACAUCAAUGUGGAACUCAUCAACUGAGUUGCCUCACCCGUCUUCACAUGCAGUCUGGUGGAGUUGUCCCCCUUCUACACAUGACCAGGCAGAGUUGUCUCCCUUCUUCACAUGACCAGGCAGAGUUGUUCCCCUUCCGUCACAAGCUGCCCUGUUUCUGGAAAUGAAUGGACUUGUAUACUGCUGCCUGACACAGUAGGUACAGUACGGUUUUGGGACAAGAUAGAUUCAAGUCUAUUCUCUUUUCAGAUUUACUGCUGUUAUUUUUGUAUGGCAUGUGCCUGGUUUUGUAAAGGUGUUUUGAUACUAUUUGUCAUGAUGUCGAUAAUCAUUGUGAUGGGAGAUACAUUCACAUCUUGUGAGUGUUUGUUGGAUGGCAGUGUGAGGACUGUGUACAUGGUAGUGCUGCUGCCUCUCCUGGAACGUCAAGUAGUUGUCACGUAUUGUGGAAAAGGGUAAAGACAAAGUGGAACAACACAAGGAUUAUCAAAGAAAGAAGAAAGGACAAGCGUCUGAAGCCCCUCAGUUCCUGGGAUAGUACUUGUUUGUGAUUGGCCAGAUAGCAAAUUGUAACAUUGCAUCCUUGGAUAGUACUUGUUUGUGAUUGGCCAGAUAGCAAAUUGUAACAUUGCAUCCUGGGAUAGUACUUGUUUGUGAUUGGCCAGAUAGCAAAUUGUAACAUUGCAUUCUGGAAUAGUACUUGUUUGUGAUUGGCCAGAUAGCAAAUUGUAACAUUGCAUCCUGGGAUAGUACUUGUUUGUGAUUGGCCGGAUAGCAAAUUGUAACAUUGCAUCCUUGGAUAGUACUUGUUUGUGAAUGGCCAGAUAGCAAAUUGUAACAUUGCAUCCUUGGAUAGUACUUGUUUGUGAUUGGCCAGAUAGCAAAUUGUAACAUUGCAUCCUAGGAUGACUUCGAUUUGUGAUUGGUCAGUCAGCUAUUUGUUCUGUUUCUGAGAUAGCAUUGACUGAUUGGUCAGUUUGGCUGAUGAGGGCGUGUAGAGGAAGGUAUCGGAUGUGACAAGAUACCCAGGAUACUGUUCCAGAUGAAGAUGUCCUGAUGUUCUGUCGGACAUUAUUUGUGACUAUGAACCAGAGACAUGUUUUGUGAAGGAUACAAGAAUUUCCUCUGCAGCACUGGUAACUAGUGGGCUGCUGGUCAAGAUCUGUGACAUUUGAUAUCAUAUGAGAGUUGGUAACUGAUAUAAUCGAAAAAACAUACUAACAUCAGAACCGAUUUCCUAUUUUUCUUUAUUGUUUUUAGUAGGUGUAAAUAACUUAUAAUGAAGGCAAGAUUCUAAACCAGGAUGAAACUUGUGUGUGUAUAUGAAGAUAGGGAGAAGCCAAUUUGGGUCAACCUCAAUUUUAGUUUCCCACUUUGUUUUAUUGAGGACUUUGUUGAUCUGAUUGUAUGUCAUUUCAGCUGUGUGUCCUGGAUGGAGAUUUUAAUGAUCACAGGAGAUUUAGUUUUCCGUAUUUUAUUCUCCUUAACAAGUGCUAUGAACAGUUAAUCAAAGAAACAGUAACUUUAGAUAUUAGUGUCUGGUUAUUCAGAGUCGACAUGAUCAAAUACUUGUAAGAUGUUACAAGACUCUUCUGUUAUUUACAGGGUUGAUACUGUUAUUAUUAUGAUAAUAACAAUAAUAAUGAUAAUGAUGAUCAGAUAACUUAGGAAUAAUCAAAGGUUUAGUUGGGUGGUUUCUGGCAUGCCAUCUGAAGAGUAAAGUGAAUCGUCUCAGGCAAAUGAGCCCAGCCCCCCUUCAAGACUGCAUGGAAAAAGAUCUUUAAUGUGUGAUGUUGCAACAAUGUAGCCAAGAAAGCAAGUCCUGAUGUCCCACAAUUCAAUGCUGUUGUCCCUCUGUCAACUUAUGUCACCAUGGGAUCAAGUUGCAGUGUACCGCUUUCUGUUAAGGAUACCCCAUCGUUUUAUUACACCCCUCUAUCCAGUUAUGAGACCCCACUGUCAAGUUCUGAAGCCCAAUUGUUAACAUAUGAAGCGCCAUUUGUCAAGUUAGGAAGUCACUAUAUCCAUUAGAGAUGAUCCCCUAUCAAGUUAUGAUACCCAACUGUCAAUUUGUUACGUCCCACUAUUAAGUUGCGAUGCCCCACUAUCAGGUCACAAAGCCCCACUAUCAGGUUACGAUGCCCCACAGUCAGGUUACGAUGCCCCACUAUCAGGUUACGAUACACAUUAUUAGGUUACGAUGCACCUUAUUAAGUUACGAUGCCCCACUUUCAGGUCACGAAGCCCCACUAUCAGGUUACGAUGCCCCACUAUCAGGUUACGAUACACCUUAUCAGGUUAUAAUGCCCCACUAUGAAGUUAUAAUGCCAAACAAUCAGGUUACGAUGCCCCACUAUCAAGUUAUGAAGCCCCACAAUCAGGUUAUAAUGCCCCACUAUAAAGUUACGAUGCCCAACUGUCAGGUUUUGAUGCCCCUCUAUCAGGUUACGAUGCCACACUAUCAGGUUACAAUGCCCCACUAUUUGGCUAUGAUGCCCAAGUAUUAUGUUACGAUGCCUACUAUCAGGUUACGAUGCCUCAGACUUAGGUUACGAUGCCCCCUAUCAGGUUAUGAUGUCCCACUUCAAUGUAAUGGCGCCCCACUAUCAAGUUAUGACACCGUCUUUCAAGUUAUUACCCCCUAUAACAGAUACAGUUAACCACCAAAGUCAUAAGUAGCUGCAACCACUGUAACCUAGGGCUUUCCUCCCGUGUUGAACAUGGAGGUCAUGACAAGGGUUUGUUCAAUAUUAACAUCACCUACUUCAGCUGGGUUUGCUAUAUCAUAUGGUAAACAAUCUUAUGUUUAUGUGUUCUGUGACAGUGUAUGUGAAGAAAUACUCUUAGAGUCAUGUAAGGAUGACCUAAUGUUAUAAACAUUUUUGUAAUAUCUGACGAAACUUAUAAAAUAUCAAGGUAUGCUAGGAAUAUUUAAUCUUAAAAUAUGUUGUUGAAAUGACAUGUUUUAAUGUUGAUAUCGUAACAAAUACAAGUCAAGGCAAUAUAAAUAAAUUCCUAAGCCAUUUGCAUGUAUGAAAAUAAUUUCUCAUACUAGAUCCAGUUGGUUGACAGCUGUUGUUCAUUCUGCUGGAUCUGUAUGACACCAAAGGAGAAGAUGGCAUGUCAGAAUUCUAAAGCUUUAGAAGACUAGGCAAUGAAGGGUACCGGGGUAUGCCGACGUACUUCUAGUCAGGAUGGUUAUAGAAGUGCCAGCAGGCAUAGCAAUGAAUGGGCUUUUUCCGCAUUCAAAUUAACAAUCGUCUAACAAUAUUUCCAAAUAGAAUUAGGACGGUAACAUUAAAUGCUAUUGUUAGGAAACAAAAAUGACCUCAGAUGCUAAUGCUGUAAAUUUAAAUACAUGUCGGGUGACCGUAUAAUUACUCAUGGAGGAUGUUGGGUUCUGAUUGGUCGACAAGUUUCAUCGAGUGUUGUUAUGCUGUUGUGUAUUGAGAUCAUUCAUAUUUAGUCUGUGAUGAUACAGCAGUAUUUCUUGAACUUCAAACCCCAGACUUUGGAUACCAUAGACUUUGAAUCCUGUAGACAUUGAAUCCCAUGGACAUUGAAUCCCCCAGACAUUGAAUCCCACAUGGAACUUAAAGAGAUCAUGCUCCCAUUACGCUGAGAGUGCUGAGAGUUUAAUUUUGUUCAACCUGGAUGGUGUACAUUAUUGGUAAACUAACAAAUCUGAUGUAUAUUGUUAAAUAUGCUGUAAAAUAAAAAGAAUUGUGCUUAAGAAUUGGUUUUCUGAUUGAUCAGUGUUGUGAGUGGUAAGAAACACUGAGAAUGACUUUUGUAGAUUUUGUCAAGGAUUGGGAUGACUUUGGUGAAUAAGGUACACUUUCAAGAAAGCAAAUUUUUUUGUGAAAUGAGCAUUGACUAUUUACUAAAUGUGAUCAGAAAUUUUCAGUAAUGCAGGUGGUUAUUUUUUUUGUAAUGUUGCGGAGAAAAAAGACUAUUCCAUAUUUUUGUAAUAGCCCCAAACCCUUCUAUGGAAACGAGGUAUUAUGUUGAAAUCUCUAAACUAUCAAAGUGUCAGACCUGCAAGAAGGUUGUUUGUGUUAAUUUUAUAUUUUUAUUGGUCCAAGUUGAUUUUGUUUGUGUGUUUUAUAUACCGGUGGCAUUAUUGCUGAAUGUGGCAUUGAAAAGUUGACAAAGUUUUUUUUAUCAAAACCACGUACAAGUUAAAUUUGUUGUCAGAAAUUGAGAGGUAGAGAAAAGAUGUAGCUAAUUCCAAAUCUUUCAAUAAUAUACUACUCAGAAGAAGUUAAGGAUCACUGAUUCUUUCAUAUUUAUAUAAUUAAUCUGUCAUGCCAGGACAGAAUAAUCAUAGGAAAGAAUUGGGUGUUCUUUAACUUCUUUUGAGUGGUAUAGUUAGUAGGCAAUGAUACACAGCUGCAUUUUCUGUUAAAAGAUCUGAUAUGCACAACAGAAAAUGAGCUUAGGUUGGGGUAUUUAUGAAGAUUACUUAUGGUUUGGUCUAGAAAUUGGUCAGGAGGUCCUCAAUACAGCGAAAAUAGUACAGUAAACUACGGUUAUAAUGAACUCAAAGGGACACUAAUAUUACUUCGUUAUAACAGUAGUUUGUUAUAAGCAUACGUACAGCACAUAUACUGCAAAUGGCCGGGACCAAAACAUAAGUUUCUUGUAAUGUAUGUGGUAAAGAAUUUCAAAUUUAGUAAUUUCCACUUAAAUACCUUAACACUAUGAACUUGGGUUUGGCGCCAUGGGUUAUGGGCUGGAAUCAGCUUCUAGCAUUGGAUGUCAAGUUUGGUGUGUUUCCUAUAACACAUAAGAUUUAUGUGGAUAUCUUAACAGCUCUAGUUUUGAGAUAGGACUUUGGAACUUUCACCAGUAUGGAUAACAACUUCUUUAAUACUGUAAAGGCGAUGUUUCGGUAUAGAUCCCUAUACCGUUGUCAAGCAAGACUGAAUUCUGUACAAUGUUCCUUAUUCAGUCCUUUACAGUAUUUAAGAAGUUAUCCAUAAAUUGUGUCUACUUUGUCAUCCGUCAACUUGUAAGUAAAGCCUAUCAAACAAUUUUUCACCAGUUUCUAAUGCUGUAUGUCGAGUUUGUUUUUGUGUUUCCUGUAUUCAGAUUAUUUCUUCCAGUGAUUUGUGCCUCAUUCCAUGUAGCUGAAAGUCAUCCCUCUCCUCUGAAGGUUUCUCAAGUGAGAUCUGACGUUUAACUUUACAGAGUACUGGCAUAUUGGUCAUCUUGUCAUCAGAAGUUGUGUCCGUCUGUCUGUGAUGCAUGUUUUAGCCCAUCAGGAGGUUUGGUUCACAGCAGUGUUGGCAAUCGGUAAUACUUUCUAGGUUUUAAAAAUCAAUCGAUGAUCUAUUACCGUAUUCGACGUAAUAAGCGCCCCGCUCUAAUAAGCACCCACAGCGACAUUUGCUAACAUAUUGGCAAGUGAACAAUCCCAAUUAGCCCCCCUUCCGAAUUAUCAAUGUACACAAGACUUAUUUAUUCGUGUACAAUACGCACUCGUGUGUUAUAUUCACCCUUAGUUAUGGGCAAUUAAAUUCUGGAAAAAUGUAUCUGUCGUAUAAAAACAAUUCAGACUGUCAGCACAAACCACGAAAUUUAUCUUUCAACUCUAAUUUAAUAUUCUAAUAAGAGCCCCCUAUUUCUAAUUUUGAGAGCGCCCUGGGCGCUUAUUACGUCGAAUACGGUAAUGAUCAAUAAAUUGAAUAGAACUAUCAUGUUUUCUGAGUAUCCUUCAUGAAAAUAACAGUGAACAAAAUUGAAAACUCAUUGAGGAUCCGAUAUUUUACUAUCGAGUGUCGUACCCUUAAGUCCAGAGUUCUUGCACUUUGCAAACUUACAUCGGAAUAAUUGUUGAUUUCAUGUCACUAACAUGUGUCCCCUGUCCAUCUAUUCCGGCAAUUCCUGGUGCUAUGUGUACAUAUAUCUUGUGCCUAGGUCUGAUACUGAAACCUGAUCGGUUACAAACUACACAUUUUGAUAUAGGGAUGUCCUUUCGUUUGUUGCCCUGUUGCUAUAAAGUAACAGGGUGUUGCCUCAUCCUACAAAAGUGGGGACCCCCAGGAAGUAAUUUUAAGGGUUCUUUCUGGCUAUAUGAGGACCCAGUAAAGUAAUGACAUGGUGUAGUGUACUGUACGUUUAGAUAAUUACUUAGAGCCUGGAAUGAAUCAAUGAUCAUGUGGACAGUGGUCAUGAUUGAUGGAUGAAAUAACAGACACCCAUUACUGAUCUUGAUGAGCUGUAGGUACAAUGAGUAUUAUUGUAUGUUCCUCGUUUUUCUGUGCCCGUUCUCUAUAUUUGUGCAUCGCGUAAAACCCAGAAGUAAUGCUGCUAUCACCUUGUGCAUUUGUUGACCCCCUACGGUUUGUUCAAAAACUUGACUCUGCAAUAAAGUUUGUUCAAAAACUUGACUCAUCAAUGCAAUAAAUAGUUAAAUAAGUCUCCAAUCACUGAAUAUAUGUGUAUACCUACGGUUUGUUCAAAAACUUGACCCUUCAAUACAAUAAAAAGCAAAAUAAGUCUCCAUUAACUGAAUAUAUAUGUAUACCUACGGUUUGUUCAAAAACUUGACUCAUCAAUACAAUAAAAAGCAAAAUAAGUCUCCAUUAACUGAAUAUAUAUGUAUACCUACGGUUUGUUCAAAAACUUGACCCUUCAAUACAAUAAAAAGCAAAAUAAGUCUCCAUUAACUGAAUAUAUAUGUAUACCUACGGUUUGUUCAAAAACUUGACUCAUCAAUGCAAUAAAUAGUUAAAUAAGUCUCCAAUCACUGAAUAUAUGUGUAUACCGAGGGUUUGUUAAAAAACUUGACCCUUCAAUACGAUAAAAAGCAAAAUAAGUCUCCAUUAACUGAAUAUAUAUGUAUACCUACGGUUUGUUCAAAAAUUGACUCAUCAAUACAAUAAAAAGCAAAAUAAGUCUCCAUUAACUGAAUAUAUAUGUAUACCUACGGUUUGUUCAAAAACUUGACCCUUCAAUGCAAUAAAAAGCAAAAUAAGUCUCCAUUAACUGAAUAUUUAUGUAUACCUACGGUAUGUUCAAAAACUUGACCCUUCAAUACAAUAAAUCGUGAAAUAAGUCUCCAUUCACUGAAUAUUUAUGUAUACCUACGGUUUGUUCAAAAACUUAACCCUUCAAUACAAUAAAUAGCAUAAUAAGUCUCGAUUCACAGAAGAUGUGUAUAUACCCAAGGUUUGUUCAAAAACUUGACCCUUCAAUACGAUAAAAAGCAAAAUAAGUCUCCAUUCACUGAACACUGUAUACCUACGGUUUGUUAAAAAACUUGACCCUUCAAUACAAUAAAUAGUGAAAUAAGUCUCCAUUCACUGAAUAUAUAUGUAUACCUUCGGUUUGUUCAAAAACUUAACCCUUCAAUACAAUAAAUAGCAAAAUAAGUCUCCAUUCACUGAAUAUAUGUAUAUACCGGUAUAGACAUUAUUAAAUACUGCUAGAAACAAAUAUAACACUCAGCAUAAAAUAUCUCGAUAACUGUUGUCUUUUCUUAACUUGCACUAGAUCCACAUGUGCACAUGGAAUGACUGAUGUAGGGUAUUACUGUCCGCCCUUUCAGUAGUUGUGCAGUGGUGUCAAAGCCCUGACGUGAAACUGAUCUUAACAGCCAUUUGAUAACCUUAAUUGUGGUAUUGGGGACAAUCACGUAACCCUUUGAAUGCAAGUUUGGCAGGAGUCCCCUGGUCUUGAUAAAGAUCCACCCCGAAAGUCCCGAGAGACAAAUAGUUAAACUGCAGUUAAAUAACUGUUUAAAUUCACUGAUAGGUGUGGAAAAGCCACUUGUUCCUGUUGUCUAAACUUAGGUUAAAAACAGAAAGUGCAAUCCACAAUUUACGCCUAUAAAAGUUUGGACGAGUGGCCUUUACCACCUUCUUAAGAGUGGAGAAAUCGUAAUAAACAUACAACUCUGGAAAGCAACUUCUGGUGUUUUGCAUAUGGUGACAUUUUGAUGUAGAUUCUUACACCGUUAUCCAGUUUCAUAACAGUGUAAGACUUUACACCAAAAUGUCACGACAUGUGUAUGCAAUAAACCAGAAGUUGUUAUCAAUAAUGUUGUAUGUUCUUUAUUGACUCACCGACUUCUACAGGGUUAGAAAUUAACACUAGCCUGCUAGCUGGGGGCUAGUACAAAUUCCUGUGGGCUAUAACACAUUUCCUAAUUUCCCGUUUGUGUUAACAUAACAAGGGCAUUGUAUCCUUACUCGGGCUAAUAAAGCUUUAAUGUUUAGUUCUAACCAUGUUCUAAAAUGCUAAUCAAACAGUUGGAGAAAGUGUUUUUUUGUUUUUAUCUUCAAUUACUUUUUGUUUUAUUGGAUUAAAUCAAAUAGAUCCUCAGUAAUCGCACUGGGAUCCCACUUAUCUCUGCGAGAGUCGCACGACUGGACUCGCAAGUAGAAAGAUGUAUGUAUGUCACAAAUAAAUAUUGAUAAGGUAAUGACAUGAUAUGUAUUCAUGCUUUUGUGGUUUCUCUCACAGUUCCAAAAACAUAAAUUGCUCAAAACAAGUUAAAGAACAUCCACAAUUGGAAAGCUGUGUCUUUCAAUACCGACCAGCCAAGACAGAUUAACCAUCAUUUGAAAAUAUCGAGUGUUCUUUAACUUCUUAGUAAUAAAUAUUUAAUAUAACAAUCACCCCUGUUCAAUUCUGAUCUGGCUGCCAACACUCCUCCCAAUCACAGCUCACGAACUUCGUCUUCAGGGUUCCAUUGUUUGUCUUUGGUGGUGGCAUCAAAUGCCAGUUAUGGCGAUUUUCUCAAAAGUGAAAUUUGUUUUAGGCCAAACUUCUUCUUUUUUUAGGUUACAGGUUAUUUAAAAGAAAAUCCUUUUGUACCAGGUUUGUUGAAUUUUCCCCAGGGAUAAUUAUAAUGUAACAGUUGCACCAUCCCAAACUAAUGAUCGAAGAAAAAGUAUUGCACUUUGAUGUCAGUGACAAAAGAAAAAGGAUUCUAUUAUAUGUUGAGAAAUAUGUGUAUACCCUCUCAUACUAAUUGCAGGUGUUUCAUAUACACACUCAGAUCUUAUUUGAAAUAUCCACCAGGGAUUAAAGUAGUAGUGUGACAAUAUGCCAGUACUCUAGUCAAGAACUUGUUUCCAGUGCAUGUGUCAAAGUGCUUUAAAAGCAUUGUGAAAGUUUUCCAGUCAUCCAAAUCCUUUGUAGAUGACUUUAAGUUCAGUCCUUGACCCAAAAUUGACGCUCAUGUAUGUGGAUCAACUACCAUUGUGUUGCUUCACCCUCUGUGCAGAUAUGUACUAUUUUCCUGAAGAAUGCCAUAUAGCUGCUGUUAACCUGAGGGAAUCAAAUGGUGCUAUUUUCUUGAAGAAUGCUUGAAAUGUGAUAUUGCCCUGAUGAAAGGUGAAAAUUCCACAAGAUAUCCAUAUGAUCCCACUCCAGGGAAUUAUCUUGCAGAAAUUGAGAUGUGAUGUAAGAAAAUGUUGUCAUCAUAGACCUAGUUGUAAACAGAUAGUGGUCCUUUUUGACCCAUUCGGUGAGUAUUCAUUUUUAUAUUUUAUAUAUUUUUACAAUUGUUAUACUAUUUGUUUUGUGCAUCUGUUGAUGUUAAUCAAGUAUUUUGUAUUCUCCUGUAUGACAGGUAUAUUGUUAGAUUGUGAUUGAACAUUGUUCAUGGUGCAAAUCUGCUUACAUUUCUUUUGCUAAAGAUAUGAAAAUGAAGGCACAACAGGAACAGAAUAAUCGAAGAAUUACCUAUUUGGGAUCCGGUUUGAAAAGGAUGUUAAGAUGUUGUACUCUUGCAUCAUCAUGUAAACAUUAUUUGUUUUGGAAUAUCCUGUACAUUGUUUUCACUGGUUGUCAUUGUUUUCAUGUCUUGGUAAGUUGUUAUAUUUGUUUGUCUAGCAAAAAGUUCUUGUUUCAUAACAAUUUUUGCAGCAAAAAAUUACAUGCACCAUUACAGAUCUGCUACUUGUUGUUAUUAAAUACCAUUUCUGAAGUUAGGUCAGUAAGAUUUGUAAAACUAGAUUAGAUUAUUUGACUGCUGCUUGUUUCGACCCAAAAAAUUUAUAUGUUUUUUUUUUUGUAUGGUGAAUGAUUUCAACACUGUCAGGCACAUAUAUUUUUGGACUUAUUAUUUAAAUGUAUUUGACUAGAAAUUUGCUAGAUGUACAUUGUUCCAUGGUUUCCUUCUUGUUUGAAGUCACUGUUUAUCUUUCCAAUGUACAGGUGAGAGUUUCUCUCAAUAGUAAACCAUGUCUGAUAAUAGAAAUUACAGAUUCUGUCCAAGGUUUUUUGCAAUGUUAGGAUGUCGGAAGCCCAGUGGUUAAAGCACUGGCCCUUUAGACCAGGUCCGAUUUCCCCUAUGGAUAUGCAGUGUUUGAAAAUUAUGCAUUGAAGUCAAGCUGUUCAUGCCCCGUACAACGAAGGGGUCUUAGCGCUAAGAUGAUCAUAACUCUCAUACUUUAACAUGGACUUACGAUAGUCGUAGCACUAAGAUCACUUUGUGGAUCUGUGGAAAGGGGUGUGUUUUGGGUUUUGAAAAUUAUGCAUUGAAGUCAAGCUGUUCAUGCCCCGUACAACGAAGGGGUCUUAGCGCUAAGAUGAUCAUAACUCUCAUACUCUAACAUAGACUUACGAUAUUCGUAGCACUAAGAUCGCUUUGUGGAUCUGUGGAAAGGGGUGUGUUUUGGGUGGGUGAGGCAGAGGCCUCAUUGAUGUGAAAGAGCAAUCUGAAAACUUAUUGACCAAAUGUUUAUUUGGAUCUUGGAAUUAGGGCAUAAACAAAUGCCUCGUUAUGAGGAGAUAGUAGAAACUUAUUUCACCUAACCUAGAUUAGAAUCCUGAUUUGUAUGUCAGACAAGGUUUGCUGUGCUGGCUGGAGUGUGCCCUUUGUUCCCUCUUAAUCAGACUCGGUGUAUCAGACAUUCAGUGUUGUACAGUAAGCCAGAGCACAUCUCAUCCUUCAGACACCUAGGCUUCCCAAGCAACUCUGCUAUACAGCGGCGGUCGGGUAGCCUAGUGGUUAAAGCGUUCGCUUGUCCCGCCGAAGACCCGGGUUCGAUUCCCAACAUGGAUACAAUGUGUGAAGCCCAUUUCCGGUGUCCCCCGCCGUGAUGUUGUUGGAAUAUUGCUAAAAGCGGCUUAAAACUAUACUCACUCGCUCACUACUCUGCUAUACCCAAGACCUGUACAAAUGAGGAAGGACUAGUGACAUUUCCUUGUGGACUUUAGCCAUUAGGCAGAUGGCCACUCUGUAGCAGACCAAUUUUGCAGAAUAGUGAAAGUAUACAUUUAUUUCUAACCCUGACAUGCUGUGAUAAAACUGGAAUACUGUUAAAAGCGGCGUUAAACACAACUCACUCACUCACUAAUAUUCAUGUUUAUUUAUUAACUCAAACACGAGCAAAAUAUGUUGCAAAUUCACAAACAGUUGAAUCAGAUAUUGGAGAGUUGGUGCCAAACAUGAUAUGGAUUUUUGUAAAAUUCUCUUCAGGUAGUGAAUGUACACUAGUAGUGUAAUGAUCCGACAAUACAGUAUGGUAUCCAGAUACCAGGCCAAGGAUACAAUCGAUCAUUUUACAAACCCUGUAUCGCGGUACAUGUGAUACUUGCCGUAAAAGGUGACUAUGCUUGUCGUAAAAGGCUGGAUCGGGUGGUCAGGCUCGCUGACUUGGUUGAUGCAUGUCAUCGAUCCCAAUUGCGUGGAUCGAUGCUCAUGAUAUCAAUCACUGGAUUGUCUGGUCCAGACUCGAUUAUUUACAGACCGCCGUCAUAUAGCUGGAAUAUUGCUGAGUGCGGCGUUAAACAACAAACCUACCAACCAACAUGCGAUACAUUACAUAACAUUACAAGUUAUAUUUAAGUUAAGACACAUGAAUAAUAACAGAAAUGUUCAACAACCAGCUUACACAGAUUCUCUAGUAUUUCCCCUUUGGCUGCACCUGGUAUGACCUUCUCAGUGCCCUCUAGCCUGUAUAUUUUUGCCCUGAAAUUUUGAAACAUAUGAUUCAGGGUUGUGAUUUACCUGCAAAAUGAUAGAAUAUCAACUUAUGAAAUAAAAGUGCUGUAUUGGGAUAUGAAUCGUAUUGCAUCCAUAGUAUGGGGAUAUGUAUUGUAUCACGACCGCAUCAUAUCAUUACUCCUCCAAUGCACAGUAGAGUUACAGGUAAACACGUGGUCGGGUGGUAGAGCAUAUGUAUCGUAUCACGACCGCAUCAUGUCAAUAUUCUCUAAUGCACAGUACAGUGACAGGUAACACUCUUGUUCCCAUGGUGACUACCUCCUUGGUCUAGUGGUAGAGCGUCUGCCGGAGAGCGGAAGGUUGGGGUAAGAUCCCCCCGGCCGCGUCAUACCAAAAGAUGUAAAAAAAUGGUACUUGUUGUCAGCCUGCUUGCCGCUUGGCAUUAUGUGACUAAAACAAGGACUGGUCGGCUCUGAGUCAGUAUACUGAAUCUGUGGGGUAUCCAUGUUAAACUGCGGCAUGGAAUCUCAGCUGGCUAACACUAUGAAAUCGGCAUUAGUCCGGACUUGUACAAGCAGCCACCCACAUGUGCAUGCAUAUCGCCAUGUAAGUGCAACGUUCUUGAAUGCGACGUUAAACCCCAUUUCACCUCACCGCCUUACAUGGUUGUUGUGAACAGUGUCUCAGGCUACUGGCACUAGUUACAUGUUUAAUAUUCUGUAUUUUCAAUGAGCUUUAAGAGAUAUCAGUAGGGUUAUGAAUGUUCUCAUAUCCAAUACAUUGCGAAAAUUGGACCAUACCGCUCUAUUCAAUGGGAUCGCGAAGCAUGUUUGGCCUUUUCUUCUGUGUAGAACAGUGGCGGUUAAACUUAAGUGUUGAAUGGGUAUGAUGCUUGAAUCUUUAUUCCCUGUCUGGUUCGGAUAGAGCAAAGUGCACAUUUCACACAAUGUAUAACUUGAUCUCAUGAAAUUUUAUUUCAGCAUUAACCAUUUUUGUCUGAUCUUAAAAGACAGUGGUAGUACUUGUACUAUUUGUCUCCCUUUGUCUGUUGCUCUUGGGGCCUCACUCGCCCUCUUCUUUGUCUGUGAUGUCACGUGAUGAUGGUAGAAGAAGUUGUCUUCAGAUGUUGUCGCUCGUGCCCUGUAUCUCCCUUAGUGCCCUGUUUCUUGCCACAAUCCUAUAGUCAUGGCUUUGAUAUCCCACUUUGACAUGAUAGUGUUUCUAGGUUUGUCAGCACUAUAUCCAUGCUUGUGGGUUUUACCCACACUCGUAGUGCUAAGAAGGUCGAUACUCCCACACUUUGACAUAGACUUAUGUCAGUCGUAGCGCCAAGAUGAUCGAUACUCUUCCAUACUUUGACAUAGGCUUAUGACAGUCGUAGCGCUAAGAUGAUCAAUACUCCCACACUUUGGCAUAGGCUACGAUCUCUUCUUGGAAUAGGGCUCUGACCCAACAGCUCAGAGCAGUAUUAAACAGCUAAAGCAUUAAAACAAUUCUCCUAUUUUGGGGGAAAUAAGUUUGAGUUACGGUAAGUAUUUUGCUUCAUUUUCAGGCCAGACAAGUUUCAUUAUUUGUUUCCUGUGGUUUUAUCCCCAGAAUACUGAAUUGCAGGGUUGUGCAACAUUGUUUCAUGAGGAGCUGGUAAUCUAUGGUAGCUCGAAGGUUAUUCUAUAUAUUACCCAUUUAAUGGUCAGAUUUGACAUACUUCACUUUUCUUGCACCAAAAUGGCUGUUUUUGUCAGUUUGAAUUUUGGUCUAUAGUUCCUUGCUGGUUCCUAGCUGCCCUUAAACUCGAUUGACUUAAUUAUGUUGUUGAAAUCAUUCACAGCAGUAACCAUAUCAGCAGACAUACUAAACAAAGCUACGAUUGUUGCAGUACUAAGAUCCGUUUGUAAAAUUGGGACAUCCAAGGACCACCGAUUAUUUUUUGUCUUUGGAACGCUUGUAAUACAAUUGUAGGUUAUCCUCAACAGUGACACAAGUGGACAAACUGUCUCUGGCCCCACACUUUACUGCGCAGAAUUAUUUCGAAUCGUGCCAGAAUUCAAAGAUCAUGGGUUCGAAUCCGAUAUUGGCCCUGAUUCUUGGUUUGUCUGCACCAUGCUGUGCUCGUAUGUUUGACCAAAGUGGUAAACAUCUCAGGUCUGCAUCAUUUCCGACUAAUUUUCAAAGCAGCAUAAACCUUUUCUCAAUAAUUGUGGUACAUGGGUUAUAAGAAUGUUUUGUGGCGUUUUGCUCUUGAGAAGGGUGACCCUCACAGACAAAGGAUCCUAAUCUUACUAAAACAGUUGUAAUGUUAGAGAGUUCCAUCUUUGUUCACUUCAGUUGCACAGAUUUCUUCACCUUGGUGAAUGAUGUGUGUGUGGUCAUGUGUUUCAACAUCUGCCUGAGGCAAGUGAGUUAACUGACUAUAAAAGUCCAGUUUCCCCCCUUGCAGAACUAGGCUGGUAUUACAGAGUUACAUUUUGGCUGUACUAAUAAGUCUAUGCAUAGUCCAAUCCGGUUUGAUGUGCACCGCCAACUUGUUGUCAACAGAUAUUUUUCAAAUCUUUUCAUGUUUUUAAUCAAGGUGCUCAUGUGAUUUGAUGCACUUUAUGAUGUAAGACCUAUUUAUCCCAAUAUACAUCUUGAUCAUCAAUCAGUUCGUUGUGACUGGGCACCGCCAUUUUGUUUGAAACAAAUGCAAAUGAAACGAGAGGUGGAAUCUGAUUGGUCCAUUGGAGGGGUUUAAAAGGGACAUAACUUGUAAUAGCCACUGGUGACGCUAUGAUGGAGCCCAGGAAUUCCAGCUUAGUUCGGCAAGGGUGGAAACUUGACUUUUAAAGUCAGUUAACUCUCUUGCCUCUUGUUUCAGUAAAUGGGGAGAGUUUAAGGCCAGCUUUCCAUUGACAUGUUUGAAACUGUGCAGCUGGUUGUAUUCCAUUUACCCACACUUCAUGCACCCUUCCACACACAACUUGUACAACGACGCAUUGCAUGCACCCUUCCACACACAACUUGUACAACGCCACACUACAUGCACCCUUCCACACACAACUUGUACAACGCCACACUGCAUGCACCCUUCCACACACAACUUGUACAACGCCACACUACAUGCACCCUUCCACACACAACUUGUACAACGCCACACUACAUGCACCCUUCCACACACAACUUAUACAACACCACACUACAUGCACCCUUCCACACACAACUUGUACAACGCCACACUGCAUGCACCCUUCCACACACAACUUGUACAACGCCACACUACAUGCACCCUUCCACACACAACUUAUACAACGCCACACUACAUGCACCCUUCAACACACAACUUGUACAACACCACACUGCACGCACACUUCCACACACAACUUGUACAACGCCACACUACAUGCACACUUCCGCACACAACUUGUACAACGCCACACUACAUGCACCCUUCAACACACAACUUGUACAACACCACACUGCACGCACACUUCCACACACAACUUGUACAACGCCACACUACAUGCACCCUUCCACACACAACUUGUACAACACCACACUGCACGCACACUUCCACACACAACUUGUAUAACGCCACACUGCAUGCACCCUUCCACACACAACUUGUACAACGCCACACUGCACACACCCUUCCACACACAACUUGACCAAUAUAGUCUAUAGUUUUGAUUUAUAAUAGAUAGAAAAAUGCUGAUUCAACGUUACAUAUGAAACUUUGUCGGCUGCAAUUAUGUUAGGAGGUUCCAAUAAACAGAGACAUCUGAUUUGCUUAGUUUGUGGAAAAACCCUCCUGGUAUUUUCAAUUCUGUUUUUGGUAACUCAAAUCAAAACAAUAAAUUAGCACAACUUCUCAGCCAAUGAAUAUGGCAGAAGAUCUUUGCAUAAUGUAACUUAUGCAACUAGCUGAUUCAAACCUGUCAAUGGAAAGCCACCCUCCAACUCUUCGAAGCAUGUUAACCAAUAAUUGUUGCCCAAUGAAUGUUUUUAAGAGGACUACGCUCAUCAUCUGGUGCCUAUUUUCAUUCCAUGUCAGGACAUAAUGAAUGCUUUGUGUGCAACUGAGACAUGUCUGUAUUUGUAUCAUUAUACAUGUAUCAUUUUUAGAUAUACAUUCAAAAAUUGAGUCAGCAGACAAAAUGUCGUUUGAACCUUUUGAAACUCGGACUGCCAAAUUGCCCAGCCUAGUCCUCUAUUAGGAUUAAUGACUUUCCAAACAUACAAUAGUCUCUGGUAAUGUAUGUGCCUGUUUUCACGCCUUGUGUUGAGCCUUUAUGAAAGACUAACAUUUUGUUUCAGUGUAGUAGUAUGUGUUUUUCUGAAAGAGUAUUAUGUGGUUUAUAUUUCUAAUAUGAAGGUUGUUUUAGAUUCUUUCAGCUUCCAUGGCAUCCUUCCUAGAAGAAAUUUGAUUGGCUGAUUUUGCUGAGUGAUUUAAUGAUCUGAUCAGAAAAUCCAUUGUCAUCUGAUUGAAGCAGUUGUGUGCAGCUCUUAAGAACAUAUUGGCAUCCCCAUUCUUGAAUGCAAAGAAUGUUUUUUUCUGUUUUGAUACCUGUCAUUUUGUUGAUCUUGUGUUUAUACAAGAUGGUGCUCUGUGAUACAUUUUAUGAAGAUUGUUAAAAAUAUUUUUCAUUGAAAA
rnacentral:misc_RNA from 1 species